CCUACGGGGGGCAGCAGUGAGGAAUAUUGGUCAAUGGGCGAGAGCCUGAACCAGCCAAGUCGCGUGAGGGAAGACGGUCCUAUGGAUUGUAAACCUCUUUUGUCGGGGAGCAAAAAGGCCUCGUGAGGCCACAAGUGAGAGUACCCGGAGAAAAAGCAUCGGCUAACUCCGUGCCAGCAGCCGCGGUAAUACGGAGGAUGCGAGCGUUAUCCGGAUUUAUUGGGUUUAGAGGGUGCGCAGGCGGGCUGUUAAGCCGGCGGUAAAAAUUCAGGGCUCAACCCCGUCGAGCCGUCGGAACUGGCAGG
rnacentral:rRNA from 1 species